AAGAAAUUAGUUAAAACAUAACAUUAAUUUGUCAAAUUAAAAUUAUUUUAAAAAUAUAUCUUA
rnacentral:tRNA from 1 species